GAUGAACGCUGGCGGCGUGCUUAACACAUGCAAGUCGAACGAUGAAGCCCAGCUUGCUGGGUGGAUUAGUGGCGAACGGGUGGGUAACACGUGAGUAACCUGCCCUCGACUCUGGGAUAAGCGCUGGAAACGGCGUCUAAUACCGGAUACGAGCUUCCGCCGCAUGGUGAGUUGCUGGAAAGAAUUUCGGUCAAGGAUGGACUCGCGGCCUAUCAGGUAGUUGGUGAGGUAACGGCUCACCAAGCCGACGACGGGUAGCCGGCCUGAGAGGGUGACCGGCCACACUGGGACUGAGACACGGCCCAGACUCCUACGGGAGGCAGCAGUGGGGAAUAUUGCACAAUGGGCGCAAGCCUGAUGCAGCAACGCCGCGUGAGGGACGAAGGCCUUCGGGUCGUAAACCUCUUUUAGCAGGGAAGAAGCGAAAGUGACGGUACCUGCAGAAAAAGCACCGGCUAACUACGUG
rnacentral:rRNA from 1 species